rnacentral:tRNA from 1 species
GGGCGCUUAGCUCAGUUGGAAGAGCUCCUGGUUUACACCCAGGUGGUCGGCGGUUCGAGCCCGUCAGCGCCCACC